AUUGAACGCUGGCGGCAUGCCUUACACAUGCAAGUCGAACGGUAACAGGUCUUUCGGGAUGCUGACGAGUGGCGAACGGGUGAGUAAUACAUCGGAACGUGCCUAGUAGUGGGGGAUAACUACUCGAAAGAGUGGCUAAUACCGCAUGAGAUCUAUGGAUGAAAGCAGGGGACCUUUGGGCCUUGUGCUACUAGAGCGGCCGAUGGCAGAUUAGGUAGUUGGUGGGAUAAAUGCUUACCAAGCCUACGAUCUGUAGCUGGUCUGAGAGGCCGAUCAGCCACACUGGGACUGAGACACGGCCCAGACUCCUACGGGAGGCAGCAGUGGGGAAUUUUGGACAAUGGGCGCAAGCCUGAUCCAGCAAUGCCGCGUGCAGGAUGAAGGCCUUCGGGUUGUAAACUGCUUUUGUACGGAACGAAAAGUCUUGGGUUAAUACCCUGGGAUCAUGACGGUACCGUAAGAAUAAGCACCGGCUAACUACGUG
rnacentral:rRNA from 1 species